UCUAAUACCGGAUACGACCACUUCGGGCAUCCGAUGGUGGUGGAAAGCUCCGGCGGUGCAGGAUGAGCCCGCGGCCUAUCAGCUUGUUGGUGAGGUAACGGCUCACCAAGGCGACGACGGG
rnacentral:rRNA from 1 species